rnacentral:rRNA from 1 species
UAGAUGAGAUUUCCCAACUUCGGUUAUAAGAUCCCUCAAAGAUGAUGAGGUGAAUAGGUUCGAGGUGGAAGCGUAGUGAUACGUGGAGCUGACGAAUACUAAUCGAUCGAAGACUUAAUCAA